rnacentral:rRNA from 1 species
ACGAUGAAGAGUUUGAUCCUGGCUCAGGAUGAACGCUAGCGGCAGGCCUAACACAUGCAAGUCGAGGGGUAUAAAGUGCUUGCACUUUAGAGACCGGCGCACGGGUGCGUAACGCGUAUGCAAUCUACCUAUUGCAGGGGAAUAGCCCAGAGAAAUUUGGAUUAAUGCCCCAUAGUACUAUUGAAUAGCAUUUUUUAAUAGUUAAAGAUUUAUCGGCAAUAGAUGAGCAUGCGUCCUAUUAGCUAGUUGGUGUGGUAACGGCACACCAAGGCAACGAUAGGUAGGGGUCCUGAGAGGGAGAUCCCCCACACUGGUACUGAGACACGGACCAGACUCCUACGGGAGGCAGCAGUGAGGAAUAUUGGACAAUGGGCGAGAGCCUGAUCCAGCCAUGCCGCGUGCAGGAAGACUGCCUUAUGGGUUGUAAACUGCUUUUAUACAGGAAGAAACAUCCCGACGUGUCGGGACUUGACGGUACUGUAAGAAUAAGGAUCGGCUAACUCCGUGCCAGCAGCCGCGGUAAUACGGAGGAUCCAAGCGUUAUCCGGAAUCAUUGGGUUUAAAGGGUCCGUAGGCGGGCAGCUAAGUCAGUGGUGAAAGUCUGUGGCUCAACCAUAGAAUUGCCAUUGAUACUGGUUGUCUUGAAUUACUAUGAAGUGGUUAGAAUAUGUAGUGUAGCGGUGAAAUGCUUAGAUAUUACAUGGAAUACCAAUUGCGAAGGCAGAUCACUAAUAGUAUAUUGACGCUGAGGGACGAAAGCGUGGGUAGCGAACAGGAUUAGAUACCCUGGUAGUCCACGCCGUAAACGAUGGAUACUAGCUGUUGGACCGCAAGGUUCAGUGGCUAAGCGAAAGUGAUAAGUAUCCCACCUGGGGAGUACGUUCGCAAGAAUGAAACUCAAAGGAAUUGACGGGGGCC